UACGUAGGCAGCGAGCGUUGUUCGGAGUUACUGGGCGUAAAGAGUGCGUAGGCGGUUUUCUAAGUUUGGUGUGAAAUCUCCCGGCUUAACUGGGAGGGUGCGCCGAAAACUGGAAGGCUUGAGUAUGGGAGAGGUAAGCGGAAUUCCUGGUGUAGCGGUGAAAUGCGUAGAUAUCAGGAGGAACACCUGCGGUGUAGACGGCUUACUGGACCAUAACUGACGCUGAGGCACGGAAGCGUGGGUAGCAAACAGG
rnacentral:rRNA from 1 species